ensembl:snoRNA SNORA62 Small nucleolar RNA SNORA62/SNORA6 family
CAAGUAAAUAAAUCAAUCUUAAAAAAUAAUAAUAACAAUUGGCUAGUCAACUCACAAGUGUAGGUAGUGUACUACAUGAGAGGCAAAUUUCUUGCUAACACAACAAGGGUCCCUGGCCUUAUGAGUGGAGUUGGAUAGUAAUCCUUCCCACAAAU